UGGUGGAGUGAUUUGUCUGGUUAAUUCCGAUAACGAACGAGACCUUAACCUGCUAAAUAGCCCGGCCGACUUUGGUUGGUCGCUGGCUUCUUAGAGGGACUAUCGACGUCUAGUCGAUGGAAGUUUGAGGCAAUAACA
rnacentral:rRNA from 1 species